UACGUAGGGGGCAAGCGUUGUCCGGAAUCAUUGGGCGUAAAGCGCGUGUAGGCGGUUCAGUAAGUCUGCUGUGAAAGUCCAGGGCUCAACCCUGGGAUGCCGGUGGAUACUGCUGGGCUAGAGUACGGAAGAGGCGAGUGGAAUUCCCGGUGUAGCGGUGAAAUGCGCAGAUAUCGGGAGGAACACCAAUUGCGAAGGCAGCUCGCUGGGACGUUACGUGACGCUGAGGCACGAAAGCGUGGGGAGCGAACGAGG
rnacentral:rRNA from 1 species